AAAUAAGUAAUCGCGCCGGAGAAGGACGAGCCUAUAGUAAUCUAGGUAAUACUUACUUUUCACAGGGUGACUUCCGAAAAGCCAUUGAGUAUCAUGAAAAACACUUGAAAAUUGCACUAGAAAUCGGUGACCGGUCCGGAGAAGAAAGAGCCUAUGGAAAUCUCGGUAAUGCUUGCAACCUACUGGGUGACUUCCGGAAAGCCAUUGAGAAUCAUGAAAAAGCAUUGAAAAUUGCA